UGGGGAAUAUUGCACAAUGGGCGCAAGCCUGAUGCAGCCAUGCCGCGUGUAAGAAGAAGGCCUUCGGGUUGUAAAGUACUUUCAGCGGGGAGGAAGGUGUUGAGGUUAAUAACCUCAGCAAUUGACGUUACCCGCAGAAGAAGCACCGGCUAACUCCGUGCCAGCAGCCGCGGUAAUACGGAGGGUGCAAGCGUUAAUCGGAAUUACUGGGCGUAAAGCGCACGCAGGCGGUCUGUCAAGUCGGAUGUGAAAUCCCCGGGCUCAACCUGGGAACUGCAUUCGAAACUGGCAGGCUAGAGUCUUGUAGAGGGGGGUAGAAUUCCAGGUGUAGCGGUGAAAUGCGUAGAGAUCUGGAGGAAUACCGGUGGCGAAGGCGGCCCCCUGGACAAAGACUGACGCUCAGGUGCGAAAGCGUGGGGAGCAAACA
rnacentral:rRNA from 1 species